CAGAGAUUUGUGACUUAGAUCCCCUAUGAAGAAAAUUGAAUCCAACUCCUUGCUAAGAAUGUCACAGGAACCUCACUCUUCGGGUCUCUGUCUUCCACUGGUCUUGAAAAAGCUCUCAUAAUGCUGCCCAAUGGCUUUCUUCAAAACCGAUGGUUCCAGCUUCUCAGAGGUUCCCUGAGAGCUGUGUUUCUUCUAGCUGGG